UUGGGAACAGUUCCUAGCAGCCUUUCAUGCAGAGUACCUCUCAGAGCACAUCCGACAUAUGAAAGAGAUGGAGUUUGUACAGUUGGUCCAAGGGAACAUGACGGUGUCAGAAUAUGCUCGUAAGUUCCUGGUGUUGGGCCAAUACUCUCCUGAGACGUUGAUGGAUGAGGGCAGUGGGGCCUCCGCCCAGAGACCAAGCAACAUUUAUUUGUAC
rnacentral:lncRNA from 1 species